CUCGCCGCGGCCGCUGCUUUCCGGCCCGUCGUAAACGGCGGGCGCCGCCUGCGCACCCUGGACGCGGCUCUGGGCGGGGCGCGGGGCGCGGGGGCGGGCCUUCGGGCGCCGCUGCUUCCUACGUGCACCUGGCUGUUUCUCUUAGGCGAAGUCAUCGUAUGGAGCACGAGGAUACAAGUUCCAUGAGAGAGGAAGCCUGUCUAUCGUUCACUCCUGCAUCCCAGAUUGUGGAACAGAGCCUGGCACAAGACAGGCGCUCAGUUCACCAAGAUGAUGUCAGUACAACUAGUGAGAUGCAGCACACCACCCUUUGCCUCCGGAAGAGAAACCAGACUGCAAAGGGGACUGAGUACAGAAGCCAACGGAACGCAGAAGAACAAGACAAAAAGCAGAAAUGGUUAGUGUGACUCAACAUUCUAACAUGCCUGUUACAUCAAAUACGGUCAUUUGGGGCUGUUUGGGGGAAGACAAACAAGGAAAAUUCAUUUGGGUACAAUGCGAUGGAGUUUGCAAACCAGUACUUUACCCCACAUCAACAACAGCUUGUAGAGAACAAAAUGCUAUUUGAAAACACAUGGU